UAAUUGAGAUUAUAGAGUUAUAUAAGCUCUUAUAAUUAAUCUUUAGCUACCGUUCGGUUCGGGGUUAAGGAAAAACUAGUUAUUCCAGGAAUUGGAUUAAGUUCAGGAUUGAGGUAGGGUUAGAGUAUUUUUGUGUUUGGUUGGGGGUUGGAGUUAGUCCAGAAUAGUGAAAAAUAGUGUUUGGUUAGAGUAGAUGAGAUAAGAAGGAUAGUGGGUUAUUAUAAAUAGAAAAUAGUGUUUGGUUGAGGUUUGAUGGGGUUAGGUGGGAUUAGCUAACUCAGGAUAGCAUAUUUGAGGUGGGGUUAGCUAACUCAGGAUAGCAUAUUUGAGGUGGGGUUAGCUAACCCCACCCAUUUUUGAAGACAUUUGGAGAUAAUAUGAGGGUUAAGAAAUUAAUCCACCUCUUAACCCCCAACCAAACAAAGGCAACUCGUUGUUUGAGGUUUAUUGUGAGAGCUUCAUUGUAGACACUCUAAUUGAGAGGAAAACGUAGAGAGCUCCUGAGAGAGAGAAUUUUUUGUAAUCCAAUCUUACUCCUUAUAUUUUUGUGUCGUGAAUUAAUUGAAGAACACAUGAGGUGAUCUUGUUUGUGGAUGUAUGUCUACUCAUCGUUGGCCGAACAACGUAAAUCUUGUAUUAUUGUAUUCUUUUGUUUUAUUUUAUUACGUUGUUAUUCUCGUGUUUAUUUUCUACGAUCGUUUUCCUCUAUAAAAGGUCAUAUUUUCGCUGUACUCAUAUGUUGUGUGGGUUUGAA
rnacentral:lncRNA from 1 species